rnacentral:rRNA from 1 species
UAGGGAAUCUUCGGCAAUGGGGGGAACCCUGACCGAGCAACGCCGCGUGAGUGAAGAAGGUUUUCGGAUCGUAAAGCUCUGUUGUUAAGGAAGAACGAGUGUGAGAAUGGAAUGUUCAUGCUGUGACGGUACUUAACCAGAAAGGGACGGCUAACUACGUGCCAGCAGCCGCGGUAAUACGUAGGUCCCGAGCGUUGUCCGGAUUUAUUGGGCGUAAAGCGAGCGCAGGCGGUCAAUUAAGUCUGAUGUGAAAGCCCCCGGCUCAACCGGGGAGGGUCAUUGGAAACUGGUUGACUUGAGUGCAGAAGAGGAGAGUGGAAUUCCAUGUGUAGCGGUGAAAUGCGUAGAUAUAUGGAGGAACACCAGUGGCGAAGGCGACUCUCUGGUCUGUAACUGACGCUGAGGCUCGAAAGCGUGGGUAGCAAACAGG